AACGAACGCUGGCGGCAGGCUUAACACAUGCAAGUCGAGCGCAUCCUUCGGGGUGAGCGGCAGACGGGUGAGUAACGCGUGGGAAUCUACCUUUUGCUACGGAAUAGCUCCGGGAAACUGCAAUUAAUACCGUAUGUGCCCUUAGGGGGAAAGAUUUAUCGGCAAGAGAUGAGCCCGCGUUGGAUUAGCUAGUUGGUGGGGUAAAGGCCUACCAAGGCGACGAUCCAUAGCUGGUCUGAGAGGAUGAUCAGCCACAUUGGGACUGAGACACGGCCCAAACUCCUACGGGAGGCAGCAGUGGGGAAUAUUGGACAAUGGGCGCAAGCCUGAUCCAGCCAUGCCGCGUGAGUGAUGAAGGCCUUAGGGUUGUAAAGCUCUUUCACCGGAGAAGAUAAUGACGGUAUCCGGAGAAGAAGCCCCGGCUAACUUCGUG
rnacentral:rRNA from 1 species